GCCUUCCUUGUCUAGUGGGAGCAUAAUGUCCGAUGAUCGUCUAGUGAGGACAUUGAUGCUGACACCCAUUUAAAUACACUCCCCCGCCCGCGCCUGGUGAAACAGGUGCGAGUGGAAUUUUUGGAAAG